rnacentral:lncRNA from 1 species
GCCAUGUGAUCCCAGCAAGAGAAGACACCUGCCACUGGCAUCUGAUAACAUAAGUUCCUAUAAAAUAUAAAGAUUAGUAGUUAUGGUUCAUAAUUAAGACUGAGCUAGCAUAUAAGAAAUCCUAGUCAUUGGCCAGCAGCAUUAUACCUAAUUUUUUCAAACCCGCCAGUCCAGUUUGUGUGGGACCAUCUGCUGGAGCGUAGUCAUCUACCACAUAUGACUUGGGACAGCACUCAAGACUCAUGCAAGCUCAAGCCAAACAAAAUCCAGCAUGGAGCUACAGGAUGAAGGCUCUAGGAUGACAUAGAAGGCAGUCAUCAAUCUCAUUAUCGGGGAAGGGCAUUUAAGGGCAUGGUCACUUGAGUCUACAGCCCCAGUGCUGGAGGAAGGAGACAGUCUGCUCCUGGAAGCUAGCUGGCCAAGCAGCCUAGCUAUGGCUGCUUUAGGCUCAUUGAGAGACUGUUUAAAAGAAGAAGAUGAAGAGCAAUAGUGAAAGACACUUGACAAACAACAGACAGUUGUCAUGCCAGUGAUUUCAUCCAACAGUUUUAGUUUACUUAUCCUUUGUUUGAAUCUCCCUAGUGAGGCUAGAGUGCGUUUCAUGAAUGUUACCCAGUGGUUCUUCUGUAUUUGGCUGAAGUGGUAACCAAAAUCACUGAAGCCAGGUUUGGAGAUUGUUACUGAGGAAACAGUGGAGAGCUUUAAGUGGAGAGUGUAAGGUGUUCACCAGGGGAAGGGUAAGAACUCAGGUCUGAUGAGCAGCUACAAAAGAUAUAAGCUGAUCAGGGGGUAAAGUGAAGGAGAGGGGAAAGAUUAAGCACUGAAUCUGAAACCCAGAGUGGUGGCAUAGCUUUAAUCCCAGCACGUGAGAAGUAGAGGCAGAUGGGUUUCUGUGAAGUUGAGGCUACAUAGUGAGCUCUAGGGCAGCCAGGGAUACAUAGUGAGGACUUGUUUCCAAACAAAAGCAGAAAGCCAAAUUUGAGUGCUGAAUGAAUUCAAAAGCCUAGUGACUGUGGUCUAUGCAGUGUUAGCUUCUAGAAGCUGACAGAGCUGGGCAGUUCUUGUUUAUUCAUUUUUGGUGCUGAGGAUUGCACCCAAGGCCUCACUCAUGCUAAGUACCUGCUCUACCUCUGAACCACACUCCCAGCCACUAGACAACAGCUCAAAAGUUGAGAGUGGCUGGAUGUAUACAAAGUUAGGAAAGUUCUGAGAGUUGGGUAGACUGUAACAUGAGGUUUUUCUUGGCCCGACUAGGUCUCACUGCCCUUUUCUGCCCCAAAGAAACACACAGG